rnacentral:rRNA from 1 species
UGAACGCUGGCGGCAGGCCUAACACAUGCAAGUCGAACGGUAACAGGAAGCAGCUUGCUGCUUCGCUGACGAGUGGCGGACGGGUGAGUAAUGUCUGGGGAUCUGCCUGAUGGAGGGGGAUAACUACUGGAAACGGUAGCUAAUACCGCAUAACGUCGCAAGACCAAAGAGGGGGACCUUCGGGCCUCUUGCCAUCAGAUGAACCCAGAUGGGAUUAGCUAGUAGGUGGGGUAACGGCUCACCUAGGCGACGAUCCCUAGCUGGUCUGAGAGGAUGACCAGCCACACUGGAACUGAGACACGGUCCAGACUCCUACGGGAGGCAGCAGUGGGGAAUAUUGCACAAUGGGCGCAAGCCUGAUGCAGCCAUGCCGCGUGUAUGAAGAAGGCCUUCGGGUUGUAAAGUACUUUCAGCGAGGAGGAAGGUGAUAAGGUUAAUAACCUUAUCAAUUGACGUUACUCGCAGAAGAAGCACCGGCUAACUCCGUGCCAGCAGCCGCGGUAAUACGGAGGGUGCAAGCGUUAAUCGGAAUUACUGGGCGUAAAGCGCACGCAGGCGGUCUGUCAAGUCGGAUGUGAAAUCCCCGGGCUCAACCUGGGAACUGCAUUCGAAACUGGCAGGCUAGAGUCUUGUAGAGGGGGGUAGAAUUCCAGGUGUAGCGGUGAAAUGCGUAGAGAUCUGGAGGAAUACCGGUGGCGAARGCGGCCCCCUGGACAAAGACUGACGCUCAGGUGCGAAAGCGUGGGGAGCAAACAGGAUUAGAUACCCUGGUAGUCCACGCCGUAAACGAUGUCGACUUGGAGGUUGUUCCCUUGAGGAGUGGCUUCCGGAGCUAACGCGUUAAGUCGACCGCCUGGGGAGUACGGCCGCAAGGUUAAAACUCAAAUGAAUUGACGGGGGCCCGCACAAGCGGUGGAGCAUGUGGUUUAAUUCAAUGCAACGCGAAGAACCUUACCUGGCCUUGACAUCCACGGAAUUUGGCAGAGAUGCCUUAGUGCCUUCGGGAACCGUGAGACGGGUGCUGCAUGGCUGUCGUCAGCUCGUGUUGUGAAAUGUUGGGUUAAGUCCCGCAACGAGCGCAACCCUUAUCCUUUGUUGCCAGCGAUUCGGUCGGGAACUCAAAGGAGACUGCCGGUGAUAAACCGGAGGAAGGUGGGGAUGACGUCAAGUCAUCAUGGCCCUUACGGCCAGGGCUACACACGUGCUACAAUGGCGUAUACAAAGAGAAGCGAACUCGCGAGAGCAAGCGGACCUCAUAAAGUACGUCGUAGUCCGGAUCGGAGUCUGCAACUCGACUCCGUGAAGUCGGAAUCGCUAGUAAUCGUGGAUCAGAAUGCCACGGUGAAUACGUUCCCGGGCCUUGUACACACCGCCCGUCACACCAUGGGAGUGGGUUGCAAAAGAAGUAGGUAGCUUAACCUUCGGGAGGGCGCUUACCACUUUGUGAUUCAUGACUGGGGUGAAGUCGUAACAAGGUAACCGUAGGGGAACCUGCGGCUGGAAUCACCUCCUAAAGGGCAGCUUCA